GCAGGUUUUCAUAUUAAUUUGCCGAUCUAUAAUCUUUUUUACUAAAGGAAAUUAUCUAAUUAUCCUUCCUUUAUAUUAAAAUUCCUUUUCUUUCUUUCUUUCCUUUACUUUCUCAUCGCCCAAACACCACCUCAAGCUUUCCUCCUUCUCCUCCUUCAAGCCCUACUCUCAUUCCUACCUCAUAGAUCUCCAAUCAAGAUGUUAACUCUCUUAUAGUAUAUCCCUGAAAUGCUCAACCAUCUCCUUGGGCUUCACUCUUUUCUCUCUACAGCCUCCAACGGACAUUAACAACUAUGCUUCUCUUUCUCCUUGCUUUCCUUU
rnacentral:misc_RNA from 1 species